rnacentral:rRNA from 1 species
UAAUACGUAGGGUGCAAGCGUUAAUCGGAAUUACUGGGCGUAAAGCGUGCGCAGGCGGUUUCGUAAGUCUGUCGUGAAAUCCCCGGGCUUAACCUGGGAAUGGCGAUGGAGACUGCGAGGCUAGAGUUUGGCAGAGGGGGGUAGAAUUCCACGUGUAGCAGUGAAAUGCGUAGAGAUGUGGAGGAACACCGAUGGCGAAGGCAGCCCCCUGGGUCAAAACUGACGCUCAUGCACGAAAGCGUGGGGAGCAAACAGGAUUAGAUACCCUGGUAGUCCACGCCCUAAACGAUGUCUACUAGUUGUUGGGUCUUAAUUGACUUAGUAACGCAGCUAACGCGUGAAGUAGACCGCCUGGGGAGUACGGUCGCAAGAUUAAAACUCAAAUGAAUUGACGG